GCAUCGAUAGUUUAGUGGUAGAAUUGAAGCUUCCCAUCAAACGAUAGUCUGCUUCAGGCACGGGUUCGAUUCCCGUUCGAUGCA